UUGGAGGGCAAGUCUGGUGCCAGCAGCCGCGGUAAUUCCAGCUCCAAUAGCGUAUAUUAAAGUUGUUGCAGUUAAAAGGCUCGUAGUUGAAUUUCGGGAUUGACACAUCGGUCGUGCCUUAAGGGGUAUGAACUGGUGUAGUCAAUUUCUCACCUUCUGGAGAACCACGAUGCCCUUAAUUGGGUGUCGCGGGGAACCAGGACCUUUACUUUGAAAAAAUUAGAGUGGUUAAAGCAGGCAUUUUGCUUGAAUACAUUAGCAUGGAAUAAUAAAAUAGGACGGCAUGAUUCUAUUUUGUUGGUUUCUAGGAUCACCGUAAUGAUUAAUAGGGAUAGUUGGGGGCAUUAGUAUUCAAUCGUCAGAGGUGAGAUUCUUGGAUUUAUUGAAGACUAACUACUGCGAAAGCAUUUGCCAAGGAUGUUUUCAUUAAUCAAGAACGAAAGUUAGGGGGUCGAAGACGAUCAGAUACCGUCGUAGUCUUAACCAUAAACUAUGCCGACUAGGAAUCAGACGAUGUUAAUUUUUUAAUGACUCGUUUGGCACCUUACGGGAAACCAAAGUGUUUGGGUUC
rnacentral:rRNA from 1 species